AUGCCAUGGCGUGGGCAUUCCCUCUAAAGAUCUUUAUACCUUUCCCAUGCAUUAUAAAAUAAUUCAUUAUCCUUUUGCCUAAAUGUGUUCACUUUGGUUCUCAGUUU